rnacentral:rRNA from 1 species
GACGUAGGGCGCGAGCGUUGUCCGGAUUUAUUGAGCGUAAAGAGCUCGUAGGCGGCUCGUUGCGUCGGCUGUGAAAACCCGCAGCUCAACUGUGGGCUUGCAGCUGAUACGGGCGGGCUGGAGUUCGGUAGGGGAGACUGGAAUUCCUGGUGUAGCGGUGAAAUGCGCAGAUAUCAGGAGGAACACCGGUGGCGAAGGCGGGUCUCUGGGCCGAUACUGACGCUGAGGAGCGAAAGCGUGGGGAGCGAACAGG